rnacentral:rRNA from 1 species
GCUGGCGGCAGGCCUAACACAUGCAAGUCGAGCGCACUCUUCGGAGUGAGCGGCGGACGGGUUAGUAACGCGUGGGAACGUACCCAGAUCUAAGGAAUAGCCACUGGAAACGGUGAGUAAUACCUUAUACGCCCUUCGGGGGAAAGAUUUAUCGGAUUUGGAUCGGCCCGCGUUAGAUUAGGUAGUUGGUGGGGUAAUGGCCUACCAAGCCUACGAUCUAUAGCUGGUUUUAGAGGAUGAUCAGCAACACUGGGACUGAGACACGGCCCAGACUCCUACGGGAGGCAGCAGUGGGGAAUCUUAGACAAUGGGCGCAAGCCUGAUCUAGACAUGCCGCGUGAGUGAUGAAGGCCUUAGGGUCGUAAAGCUCUUUCGCCUGUGAUGAUAAUGACAGUAGCAGGUAAAGAAACCCCGGCUAACUCCGUGCCAGCAGCCGCGGUAAUACGGAGGGGGUUAGCGUCGUUCGGAAUUACUGGGCGUAAAGCGCACGUAGGCGGAUUAGAAAGUUAGGGGUGAAAUCCCGGGGCUCAACCUCGGAACUGCCUCUAAAACUCCUAGUCUAGAGUUCGAGAGAGGUGAGUGGAAUUCCAAGUGUAGAGGUGAAAUUCGUAGAUAUUUGGAGGAACACCAGUGGCGAAGGCGGCUCACUGGCUCGAUACUGACGCUGAGGUGCGAAAGUGUGGGGAGCAAACAGGAUUAGAUACCCU